UACGGAGGAUGCGAGCGUUAUCCGGAUUUAUUGGGUUUAAAGGGUGCGUAGGCGGGCUUUUAAGUCAGCGGUAAAAAUUCGGGGCUCAACCCCGUCCGGCCGUUGAAACUGGGGGCCUUGAGUGGGCGAGAAGAAGGCGGAAUGCGUGGUGUAGCGGUGAAAUGCAUAGAUAUCACGCAGAACCCCGAUUGCGAAGGCAGCCUUCCGGCGCCCUACUGACGCUGCGGCACGAAAGUGCGGGGAUCGAACAGG
rnacentral:rRNA from 1 species